GAUGAACGCUAGCGGCAGGCUUAAUACAUACAAGUCGAGGGACAGCACAGGUAGCAAUACUGGGUGGUAACCGGCAAACGGGUGCGGAACACGUACACAACCUUCCUUUAAGUGGGGGAUAGCCCAGAGAAAUUUGGAUUAAUACCCCGUAAUAUAGUUGAAUGGCAUCAUUUGAUUAUUAUAGCUACGGCGCUUAAUGAUGGGUGUGCGGCUGAUUAGGUAGUUGGCGGGGUAACGGCACACCAAGUCUACGAUCAGUAGCUGAUGUGAGAGCAAGAUCAGCCACGCGGGAGCUGAGACACGGGCCCGACUCCUACGGGAGGCAGCAGUAAGGAAGAUUGGUCAAUGGACGCUAGUCUGAACCAGCCAUGCGGCGUGAAGGAGUAAGGUCCUCUGGAUUGUAAACUUCUUUUAUUUGGGACGAAAAAGGGCCUUUCUAGGUCAACUGACGGUACCAGAUGAAUAAGCACCGGCUAACUCCGUGCCAGCAGCCGCAGUAAGAC
rnacentral:rRNA from 1 species